GCUCCGGUAGCUCAGUUGAUAGAGCACUUGCCCGCGAAAGGCAAAGGUCCCGAGUUCGAGUCUCGGUCGGUGCA